rnacentral:rRNA from 1 species
AACGAUAUAGAAUAUAUUGUUUUACUUCAUUUUUCUAAAUAUAGAAAAAUAUAGAAAGAAACUAUUAGGGAAUCAUUGCAAUAUAUCAAAGAGAGAAAUUUUAAUUUGUAUAAACAGUAUAAAACUGGUUUAAAAACAUGAACUCUAAGAGAAAUUCAGUAAUAAACGAAGUAAAUUGAAAUAUCUUAAUAACUUUAGGAAAAGAAAUCAAAAGAGAUUCUAUGAUUAGUGAGAAUGAAAAUAGAGAAGCCUUCCAAUACAUAUGGGAUGGUUUAGGUACAAUCGGGUAAUAUAAAAACAUUAAAUAUUAUUAAAAAUUUUUAGGAAAAUUUUUAAAGUUAAUAUAUAAUAUUAAGUAAAUAAAAGUUUUAUAAAUAUAAAAACCUAUGUAAACUAAAACCAUAGUAUGGUACAAAUAAAAAUUAACAAGUAAAAUGGGUUAAGACUUGUUUGAAUAAGUAAAGGGGAACCUUCCUCUAAGGCUAAAUAUGAUAUAUUGAGCGAUAGCGUAGAGUACCGUGAGGGAAUUGAAAAAUUAGUAGUUUUAUAAGCAGCUUGAGAAGAAAAUUUAAAUAACAUUAAAAGCGUACCUUUUGCAUAAUGGGUCAGCAAGUUAAUAUUAGAUGCGAGCAAUAACUGCCUAGAUAAAUCGGUCAAUACAAUAGUGAUAAGUAUCUAAAAUUAGACCCGAAACCUAGUGAUCUUACCAUGAUCAGAGUCACAAAAGCUCGAACGGGUUAUUGUUGCAUAAAUAUCCGAUGAAUUGUGGUAAGCUUGGUGAAAGAUAAAACUGACUAGGGAUAGCUGGUUUUCCGCGAAACGUAUCUAAGUACGUAAUUUUAACUAACAUCAUGCAGGUACAGAACUUGAUCUUACAUGGCUAGUCGAGGAGAUAUUUUUCAAUUAUAUCGGGGAAUCGUGAAGAUUUUAUCGUUAAGUAAUAGGUCUCGGAAUGGCAGUGAUGAAUGUAAAAAUAACAGACAUAGUAUGCUAAGGUUGUAUGUCAAAAGGGAAACAGCCCAGAACAAGUGUAAAUAUAAGGUUCCAAAAUUAUUGUUAAGUGAAAUAAAGAGAGUUUUUAUCUUAUUCGAUCAGGUGAUGGGCUUAGUGGCGGCCAUUUUUUAAAGACCUCGUAAUAGAGCACUGAUUCAACACCGGAAGACCUCCGGUGGAUAGAGACAUCUAAAAUUUAUCGGAUCUAAACAAUAUACCGACACCUUGUCCAUAAUUACAGUUGGUAUUCAAAUUAGAGAUGGUCUAUCUAAUUUAAUUAUGGGGUAGCGGAACGUUGGGUGAUAAUAUUCAAUUAUUCUUUUUAAGAAUAAAAAAAAGAUUAACCCAAGUGAGAAUGCUGACAUGAGUAACGAAAAAGGAUAAAAAAAAUUUUUUUUACCUCGCCUUAAGCUUAUGGUAUUAUAUAAGUAACGGCCUCUAAGUUAGUUGACCUAAAGGUCUAAACGAUGAGAAAAAUCUUGUGAUUAUUGUAACAACCUUAUAUGGGUGUAUAAGUGUUCUGGAAAAGCAAUAAACAACGUAAAGCUAUUAUUAACUUUACGAUAAUAAAACCGUACCUAAGUACCAAGAGGUAAGCUAGUAGAGAAUACGAAGGCGCUUGAGUGAACAAUCUUUAAGGAACUCGGCAAACUAACUACCGUAACUUAGGGAGAAGGAGUGCCGAUCCCCCGUUUAAUAUCGGUUUGGAUAAGGAAGCAUAGAAUCGUGUUGUCCGACUGUUUAAUUAAAACAAAGCACGCUGCAUUAAGAUGAAAGUCUAAGUAUAGAGUGUGAUGUCUGCCCGAUGCCGGCUGGUUAACGGAGUUUCUGGGCUGCUUUUAUUAUAAAUGUCGGUCUGGUUUUGAAGGAUACCCCGGUUAAUGGCGGCCUUAUCUAUGAGGGUCCUAAGGUAGCAAAAUACCUUGGCCACUAAAUAUGGUCUCGCAUGAAUGAUGUAACGAUACAACAGCUGUCUCGAAGAUUGGCUCAGUGAAAUUGGAAUUGCAGUAUUUAUUUGCUGCGUUGGUGUAAAUCCAACUCUAUAGUUAUUACUAAACUUAUAUAUUUUUAAUUCCGUUAAAUUAAAUUUUUUUUUGGAUUUCUUGGCGGUAGUUAAUAAUUUUCCACAAUUUCUUGGUGCCAUUUUAAUAUAUCAAUUAGACGCUUUAACUGAUGAAUAAAACAAGUGGCGUAAUCUGGUUCGAAUCCAGAGUUUAUCCUAGUGGGCUGACACCCCACUUUGAUAAAUCGAGCUUUUUUAUUCAAGGGAUCGGCGCUAAGGUGUAUUAGCUUUAGCUAUGUAACUAUAAAUUUUGAAUAAAAACUAAUCGAAAAGAAUAAUUAUUAUGGAAAAAACAGAAUGCCAUCAUAUUGUGUGCUUCUAAGAGUGGUGAUGGGGUUAAAGAUUAGUCUUUAACUGGGAAAUUCGGCUCGAAUAUCGUAAACUAAGAAUUUCACUAUAGGUAUCUGAAAACAUUUAAGACCAUAUCUGGAAAUCGAUAAUAUAGAAGGUUUCCCGCGGUGAAAAGACCACGGGAUCUGUCGUGUUUAAUAGAAAACGUUUCAAGUCAAAAGGAAAUUUUACAGCCUUAAUGUCUAAUACAUUUUUAACUAAUUAAUGAAAGUCACAAACAUUUUUAAUAAUAAAUAUCAAAGCUUAAAUAAGCUUUUCUUAAUAACUCGAGGUUUUGUACAAAUUAGGGCGUUUGCUUCUUUGGUUUCUCUUAAAGAUAUUGCAAUAAUGAAAAAUAAAACAAAUUUACAUAAUUUUUAUUGAUGAUUCGUAGGGUUUUCUGAUGGGGAGUCAAAUUUUAGUAUUGUACCUAAUUACGUUGAAAACGAUAAUAUAAAUAAAUUUAAUUUUAGAUUUACUAUUGGACUUCAUAAAGACGAUAAAAUUGUUCUGGUCUAUAUACAAAAGUUAUUAGAUAUAGGUAAUAUUUAUGAAACAGAUAAAGAAUGUAAAUUUAUUGUUUCAGAUAAAGAAGGUAUAAUAAAAUUAAUUAAUAUUUUUGAUAAUUAUAAUUUAAAUACUACUAAAUAUUUAGAUUAUUUAAAUUUUAAAGAAGCUUUUAACCUAUACCAUAAUAGAAAUGGAGUAUUAACAGAACAAUUAAUAGAUAAAUUAAUAAAAUUAAAAAAUGGUAUGAAUUCUAAUCGAACUAACUUUGAACUACCUGCUAAUCAUAUAAAAAUAACAGCUUACUGAUUAUUAGGCUUAAUUGAAGGUGAAGGUUCAUUUAAUUUAUGAAGAAGCAACUUAGUACCUGCUUUUUCUAUUGUUUUAACAGAACAUCAAUUACCUGUGAUUGUGAAAAUUAAAGAAUUUUUAAUAGAAAACUUAGGUUUUGAUGAAAAUUCAAUUUGAAAAUUAAAUAAUUCAUCGAAUAUAGGAAUAAAUAUUCAAAAAGCUAGAAAUAAUAGUAAAGGUAGUGUUUUAUUAAUUAUUAAGGAUAUCCGGAUAAUACAUAAUUAUUUAAUAUCUUUUCUUGAUAAAUUGACUUUUUUAAGUAAAAAAGCUCAAGAUUUUAAUGAUUUCAAAUUAAUAUGUAAUACAGUUUAUAAUGGAGCACAUAAAAAAGAUCCAGUAAAAUCAUUAAUUUUAAAAUUAUCACGAAGUAUGAAUAAUUUUAGAUUAUCUACUUAUUCUGGUAAUAUCCCCGCAGAAAAAUUAACUAAAAAUGAAAGAGAUAUUCUAAAAAAUGCUCUUCCAUUAGUAGAACAUUUAUGAGACGGGCGUCUUAGAGAUAUAGACUCAAAAAAAAUAAUUUAUCAACAUGACAGUUGUAUAUACAAAAUAAUAACACCUAAAGGUGAAAUAUUAAAAAUACAAACUGUAUCUGAAUCUGCAGAUAUCGUAGGUGUUAAUAUUAAAACAUUAAGUAAAUAUUUAGAUGUUGAAUUUGAAGUUAAUUCAGAAUAUACUGUAUUAAUAAAAAAUUAUAAAAUUAAACGAAUUAAAAUAUAUUAUAACUAAAUUAAAGUUUAGUAUUUUAUAUAACAUGUUAUAUAAAAACAUUAAAGAAAAAAUCUGAUGAAAAGAUACAACUUAACAGAUUUAUCGCUAUAGAAAAAAAGUUGAAAACGGUUAAUGACAUCCUAGUUAAAGACCGUCGAUAAUUGUAUAUAUCGCGACAGACUGGUUCACAAAGGAAAAUUUGAAUAUAAUUGACUAAUGUACAGUCGAAUUCUGAACGUGUAAUAACGUAGAGAGGCAGGAUAAGUAUGUUUAAAAGCAUAAAUAACUCUCAUAAUGGUUAAACCAUUUUAAAUCAGAAUUGGCAGAUACUGUAUACCUCUAGAUAGACGAGAAGACCCUAUGCAGCUUUACUGUUUUUAGUCAUUGCGUGUGAUCGGACCAAGCGUAGGGAUAAGGUAGUUGGUUAAACGUAAUUGAAACACCUUUUUGAGUCUAUCACAUUGCUGGGGACUACAUUGUCCUCCACUUUAUUUUGAAUGAAAUAAAAUGACUUAUUCUACUUAUCAACCAGUUUUAAUUAUUCAAUAAUAGUAUAAAGUGAUACAAUAACUAUUAUUGCCUGAGAAUUAAAGUUAAAUAUUUUUAGCUGUAAAUUCUAUAAACUACAGGGUAGUGUGAUAUUUUCACAAGUACAUAAAAGUUGAUUUUUCACAAAGGUAAUAAGAAAUGAGAACAACGGCUAAUUGGCAGUUUAUGCGGGGCACAGAUCCCAUAAAGAGUAGCUGGGUAUAUCCUAAUUCCGAAAAAUUUGGGGAAAAAAUUAUAUAUUUUUUCUUUUGAGUCUUUAUUUAAUAUAUAAAUUUUAUAUAAAUUUAAUAUUUCGCCGAUCGCCUAUGGCGAUUGACCGAUUUUUAAGAUGAAUUUGUAUAUAAGUGGAUAAGAUAUAUUACUUAUCUCUAUGUACAUUUAAUCACUAUCUUUUUAUUUAAAGUAAAAUUUAAUUUUAAAGCAAGUAAGAUUUUAACUAUAUCGAGGAUAGGUGUAAUAAAUAAAAUUCACAUUUUCUAAUCUUCUGUGGACUCAUUCUAUCUGGGAUGAAUUGUAUGAUAAUUAGAAGAUGUAAUAUGUAUUUAAAGUUGCUAAAAUCCAGUAUUUCAAUAUUGUGAAUAGUGAUUUUGAUAAUUACUUGUCAAGUUUAAUGGCAUAAUCUUGCUUAACUGUUUGACCCACGCGUCUAUCAGUCGCGUAAGCGGGGCAUACGAUCGCGGAAUGCACAAAGGACUGGUUCCGUAUUAUAGAAUAAAGUUACGCUAGGGAUAACAGGCUGAUUGCGCUUGAGAGUACACAUUGGGAGCGCAGUUUGGCACCUUGUAAAACACAAAAAUUAUAUUAUUACUUUUACACACACAUUAAUUAUAGUCUAGAUAUAAAUAAAAAUGAAUUGUCAUAAUAACUGGUCUCAUUUGGUAAAAACUUUGGCUUUAUCGCAAUUGCAUAAAGAUCUUAUAAUAGGUUGUGGGUUAGGUGAUGCUACAUUUAAUAUGAAUCCUAAUGGAAAUGCUUCCAUAGGAUUUGAUCAAGGCUUACCUAAUAAAGAAUAUUUACUUUAUCUUUUUAAUAUUAUGAAAGAAUAUGCUACUCAACCUCAAAUUGGGGAACGUAUUUCUUUUGAUAAACGUUAUGAUAAAAAAAAUUUUUCUUAUAAUUUUAGAACAAAGGCUAGUACUACUUUUUUUCCUUUUGCUAAUUUAUUUUUAAAAAAACAAAAAGAUAGUACAAAAUAUGUAAAAAUUGUUCCACCUUGUAUAGAAGAAAUAUUAACUCCUGGAGCUUUAGCUUUUUGACUACAAGAUGAUGGGCAGCAUGUAAAAAAUGGAGGUGUGACAUUGUGUACUGAUAAUUAUACUUAUGAUGAUGUACAAUUGUUAAAAUCUGUCUUAGAAAAUAAGUAUAAAUUAAAAUGUACUAUUCACAAUAAAAAUCCUAACAAAGGUUACUUCCGUAUUUACAUUUCAGGAAAAUCAUUACAUAUUUUACAACCUUUGGUCGUUGAUUAUUUUCAUCAAUCUAUGUUAUAUAAGAUUCAUCUUUAGCAAAACAAUUAAAUUGUUGAAGAUAGCUAUCAUUGCUUGCAUUUGCAUUCGGAUUCUUUGGUAUAGAAUUCGGAGUUAGUUAUAUACUUUAAAAUUUAUUUUUUAAAUAAUAACUAAAUGUUCUCAAAUUUGCUUUUAUGGUAAUAGGGAAAGUGGGUGGGUUAAAAGCAAAUUUUUUUGUGUGUUAAUAAUAUAAUAUAAAUGUGACAUCGGGGAGGUUUUUUAGUAAUAUAAAAUUAGAAAUAGGCUAUAUGCUGGAAUAUCCUAAAUUAUUAUUAAAUCUGUUUUAUAUCAAUGUAAAAUGUAAUAAAUAAUAAUUGGACAAUCAGCAGGGAAGUUAAUAAAAAUAACCCCUCAACGAUUACACGCCUACACCCAGAGUAACUAUCAAUUACUCUUUGAUACUGGGUGAAGAUAUAAUCUGAACCAUCUUGUAAUAGAUGGAAGAAAAAUUUUCUCAUCAUAAGUUUAAGCUUAUGAUGUAACAAAUAAUAAAUAUAUGGAUAAGCUAAAUUAAGCGAUGUCGGCUUAGCUUAUCCUCAGGAACGCAGAAAGUCUGAAGGGUACGACUGUUCGUCGUUUAAAAAGCUACACGAGCUGGGUUAAAUACGUCGUGAGACAGUAUGGUUUCUAUCUUCUAGUGGUAAUUAGAGUAAAUUAAAAACAGGCCCUUUGUACGAAAGGAACUGGGAAUAAUAACCUCUGGUUUACCUGUUGUUUAUGUGGACGAUAUUAAUUGUUAUUAUACUAAAAAUAUGAUGCAAAAUGAAUUUUACUGACACUUAAGUAAAGAAUAGCAUAGGCACGGCAGGAAAGCUAUGUUUUACGCUCUCAGUGUAAUUUUUAAUUUAUAAUGUAAAUUAAAGACAUUUUUAUUACAAAUAAAAUUUCUGAGUUAUAAUUUGGCGGUGAGUAAAGAACUGAAAGCAUAUAAGUUUGAAACUAACUUUAGGAUACUCUUAAAAACGUAGAAUACUACUACG